CAGCACGGGUGGACAUGGUUACUUUGCAUGCAAUGGGGUGGAACCACAAAAAAAAGUCUCUCUCUACAUCAGGCACUUUCCACAAGAUAUGUGAAGACUUGUCUGAGACUCCAGGAUGAGACUGCAAGGCUAGCUGAACUCAAAACAGAGCUACACUGCACAGAUGAAUUGGUGUCACAGUGGCUCUCUGAUGUGAAGGAAUGGGCAGCUGAUGAUACAUCUCAUGCCACUCGAGGCACCACACACAGAGGACUUCAGCAGUCAAUUGAGGGCCUUUACCUUAGUGUGAGGCAGCGGAAGCAAACUCUCUACCGCCAGAAUGAUUCCUGCAGUGCUGACCCAGGAGACGACAGGUGUGAGAACCUGGGAGACCCUUGCACAGUUUCUUAACAGAGCCAAGACGGUUCCUGAAUCUGUCGAGAGGGUCUGGUUCUCCAGGAGGGUGCUGAGGAGUUUUGUAGAUGAUGACGGGACCAGGGAUUGCUUUAUACAUGAAUUACCCAGAAACCCAGAUCCAAACAAUAGAAGGGUUUACAAACAGAACAAGAUGAAAUCAAGAAGAAACAGGUCAAGAAAGAGGAGAAGAACCACGAAAGUGGAAGGAAUGAAGAUGGACCCGAAGGCCAAAGAGAUGCUUAAAUUACUAAGACAGCAGCAAAGAAUUAAUUUGAAAUUGAUUAUGCUUAUUAAACAAUCAUGUAUGUUGAAUACUUUUAUGUGUGACCUGGAACAGACUACAAACGAGGUUGAAGCUUUGAAUACAAAAGCUUCAGUGCCGGUUGAGUCUGAAUAUUGUGUGUAAAGGCCAAAAAGGUUAAAAUGCAAACUGGCCAAGAUGUAUGCUUUAUUUUUCAUUUUUUAGAAGUGUUAAGGAAAGCUAACCACAAUGUAUGCUUUAAUUGCUGAGCAAGAAGCCUUAAGGGGAACUAGUACUAACCAAGCUAACCACUAUGGGUGUUUCGGUUGCUGAAACGAGAAGUAUUAAGAGGAACUGGUAUGGACCAAGACGUAUACCUUUACCGCAAGCUAACCAAUAUGUGUGUUUUUUAAUGCGAGCUAAGCAAGCUGUAUGCCUUUUUGCAGAACUAAAAUUGUUAAAAAAAUAGCCAGUGUGAAGGUCAUGAAGUUCAAGUUAGUAAAAAGUGUUAAAAGUCGCAUAGCCUGUAGAUGACCUGUGUAUCUUAUACUUUGACAUACAAGGAGAUGAUUCAUGUCAGGAAAAGGAUGUGUUCAGACUAUAUACAGGUCCUUCUCAAAAAAUUAGCAUAUUGUGAUAAAAGUUCAUUAUUUUCAAUUAUGUAAUGAUAAAAAUUAAACUUUCAUAUAUUUUAGAUUCAUUGCACACCAACUGAA